GCUGGUGAACUCAGGUCUGGAGCUCUGCGUAGAGAACUGGUCAGAACUUGCAGGGAUUUUCCAGUGCCAGCUGGUUCUGCUUCAUCAACUGGAAGGCGAAGUGCUGAGGAAAAAAGUUUGUCCUUCCUUUGUCCAGAGCAGAAGAAUGCUGAGUACAGCUGAAUACAGAUCUGAGCUGCAGCUUCCUUGGAUUUCCAAGCCAAACCUUCAGUGAUACCCAAGUUGGGAAAAGAAAAUAGAAAACCUCUACCUGGAAUAGUGUAUUAUGAGGGAUGGCUCCAAAUGAGGAAAAACAAGAGCAACUAGGAGGCUCAAGAUCUGUAAAUUAAAAAGGAAUAAAGGACAUUCUUCAUGCAGCCUUCCCACUUUGCUUUUAAUUCCCUUACCUGGUAAAGCUUAGAGCAAAAGUUAAAUCAGUUUAUAAUGACAGUGUGCAGCAGUUUAGGAUAUAUCCUCCUUAAUAUCUUUGUCUUUGGCACAGUGAAAAAAAAAAAAAAGAACAACUUAUUGUGAUUAUUGCCGCUCUUA